AUUGAACGCUGGCGGCAGGCCUAACACAUGCAAGUCGAACGGAGUGGCGAACGGGUGAGUAACACGUGGGUGACCUGCCCUGCACUUCGGGAUAAGCCUGGGAAACUGGGUCUAAUACCGGAUAGUGUGGGAUGGGCCCGCGGCCAAUCAGCUUGUUGGUGGGGUAAUGGCCUACCAAGGCGGCGACGGGUAGCCGGCCUGAGAGGGUGGACGGCCACAUUGUGACUGCGACACGGCCCAGACUCCUACGGGGGGCAGCAGUGGGGAAUAUUGCACGAUGGGCGGAAGGCGGAUGCAGCGGCGCCGGGUGGGGGAGGACGGCCUUCGGGUUGUAAACUCCUUUCACCAUCGACGCGGUAGAUGGAGAAGAAGCACCGGCUAACUACGUGCCAGCAGCCGCGGUAAUAC
rnacentral:rRNA from 1 species